AUUGUUGUCACUAAUAAUAGGUUCUUGGACAUUGUUGUCACCCAUAAUAGGCUCUUAGACAUUCCUGUCAGCCAUAAUAGACUCUCAAACAUUGGUGUCAUCCAUAAUAGGCUCUCAGACAUUGUUGUCACUCAUAAUAGGCUUGCAGGAGAUUACAUGCAGCAAUUCCCAUCAAGUUCACAACUCAGCCCAUAUGUUUGGUAUGAAUCGAAAGGUUUCGGAAAACUAUACAAGAGCCAAAGACCUAUUAGAAGAUUAUCCAGAAAAGCAUCAAAAUUGAGUAGUAGAACUUUUCAAACCAAGGAGUAAACCAUAAAAUCAAAAGAGUAAAAGCCAACCGCAGUUCUCCAAUGCUCAUCCCACAAGAUGCCUCUUAUGAACCAUAAACCAUCAAAAUACAACCAAGAUUAUAAUCAAACCAACAAUGUACAGGCGAAAGAAACAUUUAGCUUCACAAAUAAAAUAAUUGAAUUUCCACAAUUUAAUCCUUGGAGAUCAAAUAGAGAAAAUAAUUCAAACAUCGAACACCAGUCAAUCCAACAACAGAGAGGAAACUAAUCGAGAAAUUAGGAUAUACUGAUGCAGCCGUUUUAAACCCUUUUUAGGGAUUAGUGUUUCAAAUAUCAGAAACUCGAAUUGCUGAAGGGGAAUGAACACCAACACCAAGUUAAGCUAUCACAAAUAAACGCAAAAGAAAGCACAAGAGUAACAGAACAUAAUACUUCACAUCAUGUCCUACACCACGCAUCCAUUGUGUCUUCCAUGUACAACCCAAAAAUUCAAGAAACGAAUUACUGUACAGUCAAAAAUUCAAGGAAACGAACUAAGCUCUUAAUAAAAAGAAGUAUAGAAAAGAUGAGGAUGCAGAUAAAGACUAAAAAGACUUGGACGUUACACAACUAAUCCGAACACCACUGCAGAUAAACAAAUCAUAAUUCAAUCUUAUUAUCGAUGAUCAAAUACCAGAUAAAUUAAAUAACAAAAAGAAGACUAAAAGAAUACUUGAUCAAUUGGCCUUCUGAACUAUUAUGCUUUCCGUUUCAUCCACUGAAAAAACAGGAAUUUGAUCAAAAGGUUCAAAACUCGCCAUCAUCACAUAAAGAAUCAUAUUCGGAGUAAACGAUCUUCAAUCCCAUAGAAGCGUAAAUGAAUCUACUAAUAAUUCUUACGUUCUUCAAUACCAUAAACGCACAUUGAUCACCAAUUAGUAAUUCUUAAUAACUCUUGCGUUCUUCAAUCCGAAAACACAAACAUCAUAUAAUUAGACAAAGCAGAGAAUCAAGAAGUGUGAACUAAUAAGAAGCACAACAAUCCCCCGAAGCAAUAGUAAAAAAAUUCAAUCACCGAAGCAAUACCAUCAAUAACAACAAAACUCAAUAGUCAAGAAAGAUCUUAGGUAUAUAUAGAAA
rnacentral:lncRNA from 1 species